rnacentral:rRNA from 1 species
AGGAGUGGAGCCUGCGGCUUAAUUUGACUCAACACGGGAAACCUCACCAGGCCCAGACACUGGAAGGAUUGACAGAUUGAGAGCUCUUUCUUGAUUCAGUGGGUGGUGGUGCAUGGCCGUUCUUAGUUCGUGGAGCGAUUCGGCUGGUUAAUUCCGAUAACGAACGAGACUCUAGCCUAUUAAAUAGACGUUACACUUUCCAGUAUCUCGAAGGCUCACAUCUCUCGUUUCUUUACUGCACAUCGCCUUCAUUUCGGUGUUUGGUUGUUGUGUGGUGGGCGGGAGUUUGUGGUUUUUACUACUGGCGUACAUAUAUAUCUUCUUAGAGGGACAGGCGGCUUCUAGCCGCACGAGAUUGAGCAAUAACAGGUCUGUGAUGCCCUUAGAUGUUCUGGGCCG